rnacentral:tRNA from 2 species
GCUGUUGUAGCUCAGUUGGUAGAGCGCAUCCUUGGUAAGGAUGAGGUUCGGCAGUUCGAAUCUGCUCAACAGCUCCA